rnacentral:rRNA from 1 species
UACGUAGGGGGCGAGCGUUAUCCGGAUUUAUUGGGCGUAAAGAGUUCGUAGGCGGUUUGUUAAGUCUAAAAUUCAAGCCCGAGGCUUAACCUCGGUUCGUUUUAGAAACUGGCAGACUUGAGUGUGGUAGAGGCAAGUGGAAUUUCUAGUGUAGCGGUUAAAUGCGUAGAUAUUAGAAGGAACACCAGUGGCGAAGGCGGCUUGCUGGGCCAUUACUGACGCUGAGGAACGAAAGCGUGGGGAGCAAAUAGG